AUUGAACGCUGGCGGCACGCCUAACACAUGCAAGUCGAGCGGCAGCGAGACUAGUAGCAAUACUAGUUGUCGGCGAGCGGCGGACGGGUGAGUAACACGUAGGAAUCUGCCCUUAAGCGGGGGAUAAUCAAGGGAAACUUUGGCUAAUACCGCAUAAUCUCGAGAGAGCAAAGCUGCCCGCAAGGGCGGCACUUGAGGAGGAGCCUGCGUCCGAUUAGCUAGUUGGUGGGGUAAUGGCCUACCAAGGCGAUGAUCGGUAACUGGUCUGAGAGGACGACCAGUCACACUGGGACUGAGACACGGCCCAGACUCCUACGGGAGGCAGCAGUGGGGAAUAUUGGACAAUGGGGGCAACCCUGAUCCAGCGAUGCCGCGUGAGUGAAGAAGGCCUUCGGGUCGUAAAGCUCUUUAGGUUGGGAAGAAGGGUAUUGGCUGAAUAAUCCAGUACUUUGACGGUACCGACAGAAUAAGCACCGGCAAACUCUGUGCCAGCAGCCGCCGUAAAAC
rnacentral:rRNA from 1 species